AUCUGGCCUAAUACUGACGCUGAGGUACGAAAGCAUGGGGAGCAAACAGGAUUAGAUACCCUGGUAGUCCAUGCCGUAAACGAUGUCUACUAGCCGUUGGGGCCUUUGAGGCUUUAGUGGCGCAGCUAACGCGAUAAGUAGACCGCCUGGGGAGUACGGUCGCAAGACUAAAACUCAAAUGAAUUGACGGGGGCCCGCACAAGCGGUGGAGCAUGUGGUUUAAUUCGAUGCAACGCGAAGAACCUUACCUGGCCUUGACAUACUAAGAACUUUCCAGAGAUGGAUUGGUGCCUUCGGGAACUUAGAUACAGGUGCUGCAUGGCUGUCGUCAGCUCGUGUCGUGAGAUGUUGGGUUAAGUCCCGCAACGAGCGCAACCCUUUUCCUUAUUUGCCAGCGGGUAAUGCCGGGAACUUUAAGGAUACUGCCAGUGACAAACUGGAGGAAGGCGGGGACGACGUCAAGUCAUCAUGGCCCUUACGGCCAGGGCUACACACGUGCUACAAUGGUCGGUACAAAGGGUUGCUACCUCGCGAGAGGAUGCUAAUCUCAAAAAGCCGAUCGUAGUCCGGAUCGCAGUCUGCAACUCGACUGCGUGAAGUCGGAAUCGCUAGUAAUCGCGGAUCAGAAUGCCGCGGUGAAUACGUUCCCGGGCCUUGUACACACCGCCCGUCACACCAUGGGAGUUUGUUGCACCGGAAGUAGGUAGUCUAACCGCAAGGAGGACGCUUACCACGGUGUGGCCGAUGACUGGGGGUGAAGUCGUAACAAGGUAACCA
rnacentral:rRNA from 1 species